UAUUGCACAAUGGGGGAAACCCUGAUGCAGCGACGCCGCGUGAAGGAUGAAGUAUUUCGGUAUGUAAACUUCUAUCAGCAGGGAAGAAAAUGACGGUACCUGACUAAGAAGCCCCGGCUAACUACGUGCCAGCAGCCGCGGUAAUACGUAGGGGGCAAGCGUUAUCCGGAUUUACUGGGUGUAAAGGGAGCGUAGACGGUAUGGCAAGUCUGAUGUGAAAACCCGGGGCUCAACCCCGGGACUGCAUUGGAAGCUGUCGGACUAGAGUGUCGGAGAGGCAAGUGGAAUUCCUAGUGUAGCGGUGAAAUGCGUAGAUAUUAGGAGGAACACCAGUGGCGAAGGCGGCUCACUGGACUGUAACUGACGUUGAGGCUCGAAAGCGUGGGGAGCAAACAGG
rnacentral:rRNA from 1 species